rnacentral:rRNA from 1 species
GAUCCUGGCUCAGGACGAACGCUGGCGGCGCGCCUAACACAUGCAAGUCGAACGGGGUUAUACGGGAUGAAGUUUUCGGAUGGAAUUCUAUAUAACCUAGUGGCGGACGGGUGAGUAACACGUGAGCAACCUGCCUAUCAGAGGGGGAUAACGAUUGGAAACGAUCGCUAAUACCGCAUGACAUAGCGAAGAGGCAUCUUUUUGUCAUCAAAGAAUUUAUUCGCUGAUAGAUGGGCGUCNCCGG